AGCCUGAUGCAGCGACGCCGCGUGAGGGAUGAAGGCCUUCGGGUUGUAAACCUCUUUCAGCAGGGAAGAAGCGCAAGUGACGGUACCUGCAGAAGAAGCGCCGGCUAACUACGUGCCAGCAGCCGCGGUAAUACGUAGGGCGCAAGCGUUGUCCGGAAUUAUUGGGCGUAAAGAGCUCGUAGGCGGUUUGUCGCGUCUGGUGUGAAAACUCGAGGCUCAACCUCGAGCUUGCAUCGGGUACGGGCAGACUAGAGUGCGGUAGGGGAGACUGGAAUUCCUGGUGUAGCGGUGGAAUGCGCAGAUAUCAGGAGGAACACCGAUGGCGAAGGCAGGUCUCUGGGCCGCAACUGACGCUGAGGAGCGAAAGCAUGGGGAGCGAACAGGAUUAGAUACCCUGGUAGUCCAUGCCGUAAACGUUGGGCACUAGGUGUGGGGCUCAUUCCACGAGUUCCGUGCCGCAGCAAACGCAUUAAGUGCCCCGCCUGGGGAGUACGGCCGCAAGGCUAAAACUCAAAGGAAUUGACGGGGGCCCGCACAAGCGGCGGAGCAUGCGGAUUAAUUCGAUGCAACGCGAAGAACCUUACCAAGGCUUGACAUGCACGRGAAGCCACCAGAGAUGGUGGUCUCUUUGGACACUCGUGCACAGGUGGUGCAUGGUUGUCGUCAGCUCGUGUCGUGAGAUGUUGGGUUAAGUCCCGCAACGAGCGCAACCCUCGUCCCAUGUUGCCAGCGGGUUAUGCCGGGGACUCAUGGGAGACUGCCGGGGUCAACUCGGAGGAAGGUGGGGAUGACGUCAAAUCAUCAUGCCCCUUAUGUCUUGGGCUUCACGCAUGCUACAAUGGCCGGUACAAAGGGCUGCGAUACCGUAAGGUGGAGCGAAUCCCAAAAAGCCGGUCUCAGUUCGGAUUGGGGUCUGCAACUCGACCCCAUGAAGUCGGAGUCGCUAGUAAUCGCAGAUCAGCAACGCUGCGGUGAAUACGUUCCCGGGCCUUGUACACACCGCCCGUCAAGUCACGAAAGUCGGUAACACCCGAAGCCCAUGGCCCAACCGU
rnacentral:rRNA from 1 species